rnacentral:lncRNA from 1 species
CAUUUAUUAUUUGACUGUUACAGGUAAAAACCCAGAGGAAUCUUCCAGGUAAGCAGCAGGUAAGGUACUUUUUGGAAGAAGGCAGAGUUUAUAAAGCAUCCUGAAAUUGGGGUCAGCUUCACUGGGUGUCACUCUUAAGGAUGUUGGUUCAGUUUCUCUGAAGGGAGGAGAGAACUUCCACUUUGCUUCUGGCCUUGUCUAAAUAAGGUCGGAGUUUGUGAACUCAAGAGGCUUCCGUGGCCUUGGCAGCUCGUGACAAGAGCCUCAGGUGAUUACUGACGUCAUAAAUAAGAAUGUCAAUUGUUAAAUCAACAACGGGAGUCAAUGUGCACUUUAUCCCCACGUAGGAUCUCCGUCCUUAAUGUGUUGUACUAUGUGAAUUAAUGGUAAAACUAAUCUUCAAACAGUACUUUACCCUUUGUGUGUCUGUGUGGGUGCAAACUGUUGAAAUCUUUACUUAGUAUAUACUAAGUUGAUCUUCUGCAUAUAAAGAUAAUUAAAAAUGAAUCUUAAUGAAGAAUGGGAUGGGAAAGGAGUAGGAGAUGGGAUGGUUUGCAGGUGAGAGGGUGAUUAUGGGGAGGAAAACUGCUAUAAUCUGAAAGUUGCACUUUCAAAAUUUAUAUUUAUUCAAUAAAAGUUUUAUAAGAAAAUUUUAAAAAGGAUGUUGGUUGAAGAAAGGAAUAAGGGCAUCUUUGAGAUUUUCGGAGUGGAAGAGUGGAGAGAUGCAAACAAAAGCAAAGGCUCUUAGUUCCCAUUCUGUCUCCACCUGCUGGAGACUGUCAAGCCCUUGAGGAUGGCCAGCGAGUCUGGUCUGCAGGCAAGCCUUGGUCCUGGACUCCAUUUUCCAGAGUUCCUCCUGCCCUGACGUCGUGCGCACGCGAGCGCCUGCGUGCGUGUGUGCACGUCGGAGCGCAUGUGCGCACAGGUGGAUCCAAAGCCCAGGACUGCGGUAGUUCAUUCACUCACCUUAGCCAGCGCUGGGAGGCGGGGCAGUGACUUCAUUUGCACUCAGCGAGUCUGUUACUCUGCACCUGAGGUCCCAGGCAGUUUGCAAGCGCAACACCGGGGCCUCCCCUGCAGCUUCUCCUUCCCCUGUUGUUGGUCUGUAGCCAUCGCCACUACUGUUCCUGUGCGCCCCCUUGCUUCGCUGGGUGUCCUGAAGGGAGCCGCCGGGCUCCCCGGAAUUCUCACGGCUGCAUCCUGUUAUGGACCCUCUGAUGGACCAGCAGCUGUGUGUUUCUUCUGGGAGGAGCUGCUUCAAGCCGGCAUUCUGAGCACCCACGUCUUGUGA